GUGUUCACUUCAGGGGUAUACAUAGUAAAAUUGGAACAAUACAAAGAAGAUUAGUUCGGCUCCUCCUCAAGGAUGGCAUGCAAUUAUGUGAUAUUGCUAUACAAUUUU
ensembl:snRNA RNU6-837P RNA, U6 small nuclear 837, pseudogene